rnacentral:rRNA from 1 species
GACGAACGCUGGCGGCGUGCUUAACACAUGCAAGUCGAGCGGUAAGGCUCCUUCGGGAGUACACGAGCGGCGAACGGGUGAGUAACACGUGAGCAAUCUGCCCUUCACUUCGGGAUAACUCCGGGAAACCGGAGCUAAUACCGAAUACGACCACUUCAGGCAUCUGAUGGUGGUGGAAAGUUCCGGCGGUGAAGGAUGAGCUCGCGGCCUAUCAGCUUGUUGGUGGGGUAACGGCCCACCAAGGCAACGACGGGUAGCCGGCCUGAGAGGGUGACCGGCCACACUGGGACUGAGACACGGCCCAGACUCCUACGGGAGGCAGCAGUGGGGAAUAUUGGACAAUGGGCGAAAGCCUGAUCCAGCAACGCCGCGUGAGGGAUGACUGCCUUCGGGUUGUAAACCUCUUUCAGCAGGGACGAAGCGCAAGUGACGGUACCUGCAGAAGAAGCACCGGCCAACUACGUGCCAGCCGCCGCCGUAACAC